AGCGAACGCUGGCGGCAGGCCUAACACAUGCAAGUCGAACGAAGUCUUCGGACUUAGUGGCGGACGGGUGAGUAACACGUGGGAACGUGCCUUUAGGUUCGGAAUAACUCAGGGAAACUUGUGCUAAUACCGAAUGUGCCCUUCGGGGGAAAGAUUUAUCGCCUUUAGAGCGGCCCGCGUCUGAUUAGCUAGUUGGUGAGGUAAAGGCUCACCAAGGCUACGAUCAGUAGCUGGUCUGAGAGGAUGACCAGCCACAUUGGGACUGAGGCACGGCCCAAACUCCUACGGGGGGCAGCAGUGGGGAAUCUUGCGCAAUGGGCGAAAGCCUGACGCAGCCAUGCCGCGUGGAUGAUGAAGGUCUUAGGAUUGUAAAAUCCUUUCACCGGUGAAGAUAAUGACUGUAGCCGGAGAAGAAGCCCCGGCUAACUUUGUGCCAGCCGCCGCCGUAAUAC
rnacentral:rRNA from 1 species